rnacentral:rRNA from 1 species
CUGGCGGCAUGCCUAACACAUGCAAGUCGAACGGAAACGAUGGGAGCUUGCUCCCAGGCGUCGAGUGGCGGACGGGUGAGUAAUACUUAGGAAUCUGCCCAGUAGUGGGGGACAACUCGGGGAAACUCGAGCUAAUACCGCAUACGACCUACGGGUGAAAGUGGGGGCUCUUCGGACCUCACGCUAUUGGAUGAGCCUAAGUCGGAUUAGCUUGAUGGUAGGGUAAAGGCCUACCAUGGCGACGAUCCGUAGCUGGUCUGAGAGGACGAUCAGCCACACUGGGACUGAGACACGGCCCAGACUCCUACGGGAGGCAGCAGUGGGGAAUAUUGGACAAUGGGGGCAACCCUGAUCCAGCAAUGCCGCGUGUGUGAAGAAGGCCUGCGGGUUGUAAAGCACUUUCAGUAGAGAAGAAAAGCCUAGGGUUAAUACCCCUGAGUCUUGACGUAACCUACAGAAGAAGCACCGGCUAACUCCGUGCCAGCAGCCGCGGUAAU